rnacentral:rRNA from 1 species
GACGAACGCUGGCGGCGUGCUUAACACAUGCAAGUCGAACGGAAAGGCCUGCUUUCCCUUGUGGAUUGCGGGUGCUCGAGUGACGAACGGGUGAGUAACACGUGAGUGAUCUGCCCCCAACUUGGGUAUAAGCCUGGGAAACUGGGUCUAAUUCCCGAUAGGACUGCAGGGUGGUGCCUGUGGUGGAAAACGAUUUUCUAGUGGUUGGGGAUGAGCUCGCGGCCUAUCAGCUUGUUGGUGGGGUAAUGGCCUACCAAGGCGGCGACGGGUAGCCGGCCUGAGAGGGUGGGCGGCCACAUUGGGACUGAGAUACGGCCCAGACUCCUACGGGAGGCAGCAGUGGGGAAUAUUGCACAAUGGGCGGAAGCCUGAGGCAGCGACGCCGCGUGGGGGAUGACGGCCUUCGGGUUGUAAACUCCUUUCGACCGCGAGGAAGCCACCUGGUUGGAAGGGUGGUGACGGUAGUGGUAGAAGAAGCACCGGCUAACUACGUG